rnacentral:lncRNA from 1 species
AAACAAAUAAGCAACAUAUUUUUGGCAUUUUUAAUAUUAAAAUAAACUUGAAUUAAAAAUAAAAGAAAGGUCAAACUUCAAAAUCACUUCAAAUCAACCUUAAAAGGUCCAAGUAAUUUAUCCCAAGUUCAACAAGGUCAAACAAAGUUUGACAAACAAUUUCAGCAUUUUUAAAAGUCAGAAACUAUUUUUAAUCAAUUAAAAAUGAAUAAAAAUAACCUAAUUGAACUAAAAUCUCAAAUAAAUCUCAAAUCAAUUAAAAAAUUGAUGAGAAUAUUUUUC